rnacentral:rRNA from 1 species
GGGUAGCAAUACCUGAGUACAGUGGCGCACGGGUGAGUAACACGUGAAUAAUCUACCUCCGAGUGGGGAAUAACUUAGGGAAACCUGAGCUAAUACCGCAUAACACUUACGAGUCAAAGCAGCAAUGCGCUUGGAGAGGAGUUCGCGGCAGAUUAGUUAGUUGGCGGGGUAAUGGCCCACCAAGACGAUGAUCUGUAUCCGGCCUGAGAGGGCGCACGGACACACUGGAACUGAAACACGGUCCAGACUCCUACGGGAGGCAGCAGUGGGGAAUUUUGCGCAAUGGGGGAAACCCUGACGCAGCAACGCCGCGUGGAGGAUGAAAUCCCUUGGGAUGUAAACUCCUUUCGAUCGGGACGAUUAUGACGGUACCGGAAGAAGAAGCCCCGGCUAACUUCGUGCCAGCAGCCGCGGUAAUACGAGGGGGGCGAGCGUUGUUCGGAAUUAUUGGGCGUAAAGGGUGCGUAGGCGGUUUGAUAAGUCUGAUGUGGAAUCUAUGGGCUCAACCCAUAGCCUGCAUUAGAAACUGUCGGGCUUGAGUAUGGGAGAGGUGAGUGGAAUUUCCGGUGUAGCGGUGAAAUGCGUAGAUAUCGGAAGGAACACCUGUGGCGAAAGCGGCUCACUGGACCAUUACUGACGCUGAUGCACGAAAGCUAGGGGAGCA